UUGUCAGUCUGUUAGCUCUAUUUUUACUUUAUAAUGAUAAUACUGAUAUAAUUUCGUCAUUGUUUCUGUUUACGUCUUCAAAUUUUACUGUCAUUAGUGGUUUCAGCAUUUAAUACGUUUCUUUGCUAUAGUUCUAACAAUUGAUCGAGACUACACCAACACGUCAAAUGGCUGAAUCAAACACUCCAUGUCACAACCUGGAAAUAAAUAAUUCAGUGCCACCUCGGAUAACUGAUUCUGAUAAAGUGCUGAAACCUGAAGGUGUUGAAAUUAUACAUUUGUUAUAUGUUAUCGCUGUGUACCAUCAGACACAACAUUAUGCAAUUUUAUAUAGAUUGGCGACUUAAAGCAGUCUUAAUUUUUAUACAAAAUUGAAGACCACA